GGCGCGGGGAGCUCUGCGCGAGGGAGGGGGGUGAGCGGGAAAACGCGGCGCGGAGCCGGGAACAGCGCCCCCUCCCCCUCCGGCGGGGCGGAGGGGGGGCCCGGCAGCCCGCCGCCUCCUCACGGUUCCCCUCGCCGGGGCGAGCGGCAAAGUUGGGGGAAACUUUCCCCCGGUUUAGGGCGAGGGUCUGGGGACGUACCUCAGACCCCCCUCCUCACACAAGUCGGAGUGCUCCUGGCAGACCAGUCCUGAUGCAUGCUGAAAGAAGCGUGUGCUUCAGCACUGAUUAAAGUCAUGUAUGAGUUAAUGAGAAGCUUGCAGAGUAUGUGAAGCAAGAGAAAAUCUUUAACCAGCUCUGCUGUUCCUGCUACAUACCACAAACUUGUAAGCUGUAACCAGAAGGUGGAUUGAAUUUGUUUAAAAUGCUGCAGUAGGAGACUCUUUUAAUUGCAUCACAGGUGGAUGCUCACUCAAUGUAUUAUCGUUUUCAAAAUACCUUAAAGUUGGGUGGGUUUGGGUUUUUUUUUUUUAAGUAUUUGAGACUUCAUAUUUCAAAGUAUGUUGAAAUCCAUGGAUUAAGGAUGCUACAAGCCUACAAAGUAUUAUUUUCUGGGUUGUUGUUGUUUGUUUGUUGUUUUUUUUUUUAAUUUUAAACAAUCUCUUGGUUUCCCUGCGCUGCUUCCGGGAUUAAUAGAUUGAUAACACGUAAGAGGCUCUCAGGUGCUGGAGGAAUGGUAGCGGUGGGGUCAACGUUCUAGUUGUGGGACUUCUAAUUUAAGAAAUGUAUUGUCAUAUGGAAUAAGAUCAAAGCUGAAUCCUGCUUGCAUUUAGGUCCAAAUAUAAAAUACACUUUGGAAGGAGUCCCCAGUGAACACUGAGAGUAAUUAAGUAAAAAUAAAACCUUUCCCUUCCCCCCCACCCCUUUUAACACAGACAAGUAAGAGCAACACUGUUUUCAUUACACCAUUUUCAUUAUGUGUCCUGAUAUUUCUUAAUUUUGUAUUGCAUCUUAAAUCCUCAAGUGACUUAUAAUUUCUGUGAUUUGGGGGUAUUUGUAGACCAUACUUUUAAAGAAGCCAUCUCACUGUGUCCCAAAAGGAGCUAUUGAGCAGUCAUUCUCAUAAAGAAGACUGAACUUCUUACAGCUUUGCCUUUCCAAAGAUCUAUUUUUUCCUGUUAUUUUCAUACUUAAUUGUUGAAUUCCUUUCUCCUUACAUUAAGUAAAUAUUUAUUAGUACCAGUUGGAUUUUUUCAUCUUUUUAAAAGAACAGAGCCUUGUCACCGAGACAAUCACUUCAUACCGUAUUGAGGAGAUGACAUAAAAAAGGAGUGAAGGAGGGUUGUCUUGUGCUGGGAACAUCAGUGCCAUUUUUGGAAAACAAUACUAUAGGAAAUGGAAAUGAAAAAUACAUUUUAUGCUGGUGGGAACUUGUAAUGAGGCUAAGAGAGGAUUUGAUGUCUCAGAAAAGCAAUCAUUACAAGGGGAAAAGUGGGACUUUAUCAUACAUUUGUAAAAGUUCUCUGGCUGAAUAUCCUUUUGGGGAUCUGAAAUUUGGCUCAAGUCUGUUUAUGAACAUCUGUUGAAUGGAAUUUUAAAAAGGCACAGAUUAUAAUCUUAGUUUCUGUUGACUGUUUAAGAUGAUACAAUAAAACAAAAUAAAUGUAUCUGCAAGUA